UCUAACUCCCAAACCCAUGUGAACUUACCUACGUUGCCUCGGCGGGGAAGCCUACCCGGUACCUACCCUGUAGUUACCCGGGANCGAGCUACCCUGUAGCCCGCUGCAGGCCUACCCGCCGGUGGACAUCUAAACUCUUGUUUUUUAGUGAUUAUCUGAGUGUUUAUACUUAAUAAGUUAAAACUUUCAACAACGGAUCUCUUGGUUCUGGCAUCGAUGAAGAACGCAGCGAAAUGCGAUAAGUAAUGUGAAUUGCAGAAUUCAGUGAAUCAUCGAAUCUUUGAACGCACAUUGCGCCCAUUAGUAUUCUAGUGGGCAUGCCUGUUCGAGCGUCAUUUCAACCCUCAAGCCCUAGCUGCUUGGUAUUGGGAGCUUGUCUGCGGACAACUCCUCAAAAGCAUUGGCGGAGUCGCGGUGACCCCAAGCGUAGUAAUUCUUCUCGCUUAGGUGUGUUAACGCUGGCGUUCGGCCACUAAACCCCCUAUUUUCUAGUGGUUGACCUCGGAUCAGG
rnacentral:rRNA from 1 species